rnacentral:lncRNA from 1 species
CCGCCUCGCCCGCCCCGCCCUGGCCGCGCAGCCCGCAGCGGGCAGAGUCGGGCUGGCUGUGGGGUGCCCUGGAAAAGCGGAGAGCGCCCGGGAGGCGAGGGUGAGAGGAUAUCCCCUGCGGAGCGCGCCGGUGUGGUGACCCAAGCACCUCACGGUCACCGCCCUGCCCUGCAGUGGAGUCCGGGGCAAACGGACGUAGUUUAAGGGUAAAGAUGAACUUGGUGCUGAGACCGUGUCCAGGCUCCUUUCAGCCCAGGGUUGCCCAGGAUCAAUAGCACUGAGUGGCCAGCUAGGCAGGCAGCCGUGAUGAUUUCACACAGAAUAUUCCAAGAACUGUUGGCAUUGAAGAUGCUGCACAUGGAAAGAAAUAGAGCAACUGUGCUGAAAGUGUAAAAACUGAGGAAGCAGCUGAUGGCUUUGAUGGCCCUCAUGUGAGCCUCCAUGCUGGGGCCCCUGAAGCCAGUGGCAUUGCUCUCCAUCCAUUGGGGGUGUCUCUUGAGAGAGACCAUCAGCAGGGUGGCUGCAAGGAUGAACAUGCUCAGAGGGAUGAAGAUACCCAGGUAAAGCGUGAGAAUCAAGUUGACCACGUUGGUCCCAGAGAAGUACAGCUUCUCAGUGGAGUUGGAGGAGGGGCUAGGGAUGGAGUUCUUUACGUGCACAUUGACGAUAUCUGUAGAGAAGGGAAAACUAGAGCAGAAGGAGAACAACGACAGCCUCAAGAGCCAAGGCAACAGCACCGGCAUUAUCCCCUUCAUCGCAGCGAUCAAAGGGUUGACAGACGUAACUAAAGAAAACAGUCUAGGUGCUCUUGAAAGAAACACCUGUAAGAACAAAGACCUGGGAUGUGAAAGAUGUGAGAUCAAAACCUAUCGGACUGUCAAGAAAACAAAAAUGUCAACAAGGUUUGUUUUGGUUGUUCAUAAAAUAAGCAGUUGUGUAUUUAAGUGAAAAAUCUGCCCAGGACAUCAAAUUCUUCAGACUCAAAUUGUGAAAGAGUGCCUUUUGAAUGUAGCAGAAAGGAUGUGUCCUAAAAAGAUAGAAGCAUGUACAAAUAUAAAUGUAACCAGAAAUACUGUUGCUCAACAUCCUGGAAAUAUAGCCAGGAAAUUAAAAGAUAAAUUGUGUGAACAAGUCUUAAACGUUGUGACAUUUGCUAGUGCAGCUACUCAGAUGUAAUAAUUAGCUCUAUUUAUUCACUGUGGGUUUGAGAAUUUCUAGGACUGAAAAUAUUUUGGACAGUGUGCCCACGACAGGCACAACACUAGGAAGUAAUUAGGGAAUUCAUUUUUGGAAUAGAGGAAACUUUCAAACAAUUUUAUGGAGAUGAUGAAGGGAUAUGUGGAAAGUAACAUAAUGUCUUUUCUAUCAAAGGAAUCUUGGUUGCUCUAUUUUGCUCUGGUUUUGGCUGAAACGCCUUCCUGUGACCGCCCCCCCUUCCUUCCUCUCCCAGUAACAAUUUGUUUCAAAUUAGCCAACCAAGAAGGAUGUGCGCCCUGACCUGACCAAUGGGAAGGGGACAGGUACAUGACCUGCGUUAGGGAUAAAUAGGGAGGGUCUUUUCUUCUUUGCACGCACUUUUUGAGUACCUGUGCCCUUCUGCAGAAGUAAAGAGCCUUGUCGAGAUCUCCCCAUGUUCAUGUGUCUCAAUUUCUGGCACUGACGAUCCAAGCCGUCUCCCCAACAGAGAGAUAAGGCUAAUAUUGGACUUGCCAUUAAACUUAAGUUCCAUGUUGCAAGUUAUAUAAGGACACAGCCUUUAGAUCUACCCAUUUGCAUUAUUCAGCAGGAAUUGCUUUCUGCCAGAAGUUAAAAAUGGAACACGUCACAGACACAGAGCUCACCACCUGUAAGCUGGAUCUCUUCCUGGCGCUUGGGCCGCAGAGCAUCCUGGGCAAUUUGAUGAAGUGGACACAACACAGAUGUCUCCUCGCUGAGGUAGGUUGGGAGG